rnacentral:lncRNA from 1 species
AUUACUGACCAAAACUAUGUGAAGUGGAGAAAACCUGGGGAAGUGGAUGGUUUUAGAUGAAACUGAAGUUAAAUUCAUAUUGAUUUAAAGUAAAUUGUUAUAACUUUAUAAAGUUUUUCAUCAUCACCACAGCAAUCACAAAGAGAAUAAUUAUGAAUAUACGCAAGAGGAAAUGAGAAGGGAAUCCAAAUGUCAUUAAAAAAAAAUCACGCCACCUCACAAAAUGGUAACAGUGGAUAUAAAGGAUAGAAAGCUAUAAACCUGGUAGGAAAACAUUGAAAAUGGCACAAGUGACUCCUUCCCUGUCACCAAUGACAGUCAUGUGUUGCAUAAUGCCUGGGCUAUCUUCUGAGAAUGGCUUUGUUAGGCAACUGUGUCAUGGUGGGGACAUGAUAGCAUUAGAGAGAAUUCUCUCAAACACUGUCAUGGCCUUAUCAACUAUGCUUCUGUAAUAUUCUGAAUCCUUCGCUGCCUUUCCAACAGUGUUUACAACGGUUUCCUAAGAAAUGAAAUCCAUUUCACCAAACCACUUUUCUUGCUCAUCCAUAAGAAACACUUCUCCUUUGUUAAAAUUACAUCAUGAGAUUGCAAGCAUUCAGUAACUUGCAAGCUCCAAUUUGAAUUCUAGUUGUCUUGCUAUUUCCACCACAUCUGCAAUUACUUUCUCCACUGAAAUCUUGCAUUCCUCCAAGUCAUCCAGGAGGGUUGAAUUCACUUCUUUCAAACUCCUGUUCAAGUAAAUGUUUUGCCCUCCUGUCACGAAUCAUGAAUGUUUUUAAUGGCAUCUAGAAUAGUAAAUCUUUUUCAGAAGAUUUUCAAUUUUCUUUUCCCAGGUUCUUCAGACAAGUCACCAUGGUAGCUGUAGACUUAUGAAAUGUAUUUCCUGAACCAUAAAACAAGAACAUCAAAAUUACUCUAUGAUCCAUGGGAAACAGAAUGCAUGUUGUGUUAGCAGGCAUGGAAAGAACAGUAAUCUCUUUCAACCUCUGUAAGAGAGUUCUUGGUUGAUUAGGUACCUUGUCGAUAGGCAGUUCUAAUUUCAAAGAACUUUUUCUUUUGCUGAGCAGUAAGUCUUAACAGUGGGCUUAAAAUAUUCAGUAAACCAUUAUUUAAGGAGAUGUGGCUUAAAUAUCUAGGCUUUCUUGCUUUAUUUAUAGAACACUUACAGAGUAGAUAUAGAUUAAAUCUUAAGGACCCUAGGAUUGUUAGAAUAGUAAAUGAACAUCAUAUGUUGUAAUAUAGUUAGCCAGGGAGGGGAAAGAUCUCUACAAGAAAUAAUUUUAAAAACUACUCAAAGAAAUCAGAGAUAUCACAAAAUGACAAAACAAGUACAGGGGCAGCAAAAGGUAACAGAUGUCAACUAUGAGAUCUCAUCAAGAACUAAGAAAAUGGAGAAAAGUACCAGAUGGCAGAUGGGAGGCAGUGUGAGCAUGCCUCUCCCACUUGGAGAUUAGUGUGUAGAGAUUUACAUUGUGAAUUUCUUUUCAAGAACCAAUGCAGAGACUUAACAGAUAUAUGAAAAAAUUUCACAUACACUCUGAAGAAGUCUCAGGCACAAUCCUACUCCAUGAAAUAAGAAAAAACCAUCACAUCCCCAGAUUCUGAGGGGAGAGAGUUCACUCCAGAGCAUACAUCCCCACUGGGGAUCUGGAAAUUCAGGCCACAAGAGAAGGCUUUGAUCCUGUGCGGACAAGUGCCUUGAGCAGAAUCCACAGGGGAGAGCUGGAAGUGCAUGGCAGAUAUGAGCACAGAAGCUGGGUGUCCAGCCUUGUGGGCAGACCGGGAGGGAUGUGGCCUGAAAGCCAUGGUUAUUAUCUCAGCGUGUAAGCUGAUGAUCUGAGGCUGGUCAGAGUUCUGUGCGCAGACUGCCUGGAUGUAAACCUGGCACUGUUAGCAGAGCACUGCAUGAAUGAAAGGAAUGAAAAUAGCCUUGCCAACUGCAUAGGUGCUGGGUGAGGCUCACUGUGGGGGGCGCACGGCAAGCUAUUCAACAUUACGUACAGGCAUUUGAGGUCGGGGCAUGGAAAAAUACUGAGGCAGUGUGUGUAUGUUAUUUGUGCUGAGAAUGAAACUCCUUGACCUUGAAAACAGGACAGGGAGUGGUGUGUGUGCUGUGAUAAGGAAUGCUGAAAACGGUCUCCUGAGAAUGCGGUUUGAGUGCUUUUACAAGGCCACAGGUGUCUCACGACCUGACCUCAUAAAGCCAUCUAGUGGAUGUUUGUGGCUUAACAAGCCCCUUCAAUAAGUACUUGGCGGAGGGAUGCUGGGGGGACCUUCUUAGAAGAGCUGCGCCCCACCCCCCUCCCUGGACAGCCCAGCUACAAUUGUCUGAGAACUCACUGCAAGCUGUAAGCGGCCCACUACUUCCCACUCCCUUUUUUGAACUCUUCUGUGCAGCAGAGGCAAUUAAACUCUCCUCUGGAACAUUACCCCAGCAGCCUGAGAACCACCCCUUGGCGCUCACAGGGGCUGCAGCCUGCCUUAUCCAAGGACAGUUAGAGUGCAGACCCACCUAACCCUGGACCCACUGGUGGUACCCAUCCACCCAUCCUGGUAGCUUAACACAAAGAUACACUUUUAGGAGCUUCAUAGCCCCUCUUCCCCCAUUGCCUGAGAAACCACUUUCCCUGGGCAACUUAGGGCAAGCUCAAAUCCCACUGCUACCACCACAGCUGGUGCUCUUUUGCAAGUGCCACCUCCUAGCUGGAGACCAACCAGCACAGUCCACACAGCACCUCAAGGAAGAAUAAAUAGAACUGUUCCCAGGAAGGAGAAAAUGCCUGCAUGAGCUCAGCUGUUACCACUGCGUACCACACCCUGACCAGUCAGAGGUCUUGAGUCGGUCCGCAUGACAAGUUCACCGCUCGCAUAACCAGCAUUCAAGAAAGCCAGCACACUAAGCCUAUCUACAGCCAGGGAGUCUCAGAGUCUACGUCACUCCCCUGCCACCUCAAUCAGAGCUGGUGCUGGUAUCCACUGCUGGGAGACUUGUGCUGAGGUGAAGCCUGGGCUGGAUGGCUGGAGGAUGAAGAACUGCACGGAGGAGAUGGAGGCACCCAGACAGAUGCCCCAUGGACAUCCUGAAGCAGAGCUGCCUCACUGCCCUGCACACACAUGAGAGCGCAGCCAGGAACAGAAGGACUGGGCAACAUUCAGGCGGAGCCCAGGCCAAUUUUCUAAACAUGGAAUAUGAGUUAAAUAAAUGGCUUCGUAUU